UACGUAGGGGGCGAGCGUUGUCCGGAUUUACUGGGCGUAAAGCGCGCGUAGGCGGAAGCGUAAGUGUGGCCUGAAAGCCCCCGGCUCAACCGGGGAGGGUGGCUGCAAACUGCGCUUCUUGAGGGCGAUAGAGGAGUGUGGAAUUCCUGGUGUAGCGGUGAAAUGCGCAGAUAUCAGGAGGAACACCGGUGGCGAAGGCGGGUCUCUGGGCAGUAACUGACGCUGAGGAGCGAAAGCGUGGGGAGCGAACAGG
rnacentral:rRNA from 1 species